UGGUUCUUCCUAGCUCAACUCUCGUGGUUCCAUACGAGUUAGCUCGAUAACUCUUCAGUUGCUUCCCUCUCGGGGAGCAUGCCAUGGGAAAAGUCCCCGGGCCUGUGACAGAGAGUGUCAGGACGUGACUUCGUCCCUCUUGCUCGCAGUCAGAAGUCGGAGGAGAUAGCCACCGCGCUUCUCUUCUGGCUUAGACAGGGUGCAAACAUGCCAGACCUUCUACAGUAAUGUUGAGAUUUCUCGAUAGGGAUGGAAGACUUGUGAGAGAGAGAACUUUUCUCCUCUCGCCUGUCUCUCUGUCUCUUCUGAUCUCACACAAUGGGGCUUACUCAGAAAGAACU
rnacentral:RNase_MRP_RNA from 1 species